UACGAAGGGGGCUAGCGUUGCUCGGAAUCACUGGGCGUAAAGGGUGCGUAGGCGGGUUCUUAAGUCAGAGGUGAAAUCCUGGAGCUCAACUCCAGAACUGCCUUUGAUACUGAGAGUCUUGAGUUCGGGAGAGGUGAGUGGAACUGCGAGUGUAGAGGUGAAAUUCGUAGAUAUUCGGAGGAACACCAGUGGCGAAGGCGACUCGCUGGACUGAUACUGACGCUGAGGUGCGAAAGCGUGGGGAGCAAACAGG
rnacentral:rRNA from 1 species